GCAUCCCACCACCCUUGGCCCUACCCAGCAGGGCUGCCUUUUACACGUUGCUUGCACCCCGUGCUCCCUCCUCCUCCAGAUCCGAGUCACUCCAAUCUACAUGCAUCAAGACGCCCCUAUUCUUCCGACAUGACAGCAGCUGAUCUGUUUUCUUGUGGAACUCUCCGAGAAUUAAGAAACCCUCUGUUUUGCUUGGAACACUUGGCCUAGUUGUCUGCCCCUCCUCUUCUGUGCUUUACAGCUUCUCCAUAACCAUGGAGAAACCUGAAGAUCCAAGUGGAGAAAAGAAAGGUUGGCCAGCAAGCUUUCUUGAACCAAUGAUGAAAGAGUAUGUCGAUGCGGCAAAGUUUUGUGGUCAAAAUGGAUGGACAAAGGAGUUGGGGCAUGACAAGCAAAACCUA